rnacentral:rRNA from 1 species
GUAGGUGGCAAGCGUUGUCCGGAAUUAUUGGGCGUAAAGCGCGCGCAGGCGGUCCUUUAAGUCUGAUGUGAAAGCCCACGGCUCAACCGUGGAGGGUCAUUGGAAACUGGGGGACUUGAGUACAGAAGAGGAAAGCGGAAUUCCAAGUGUAGCGGUGAAAUGCGUAGAGAUUUGGAGGAACACCAGUGGCGAAGGCGGCUUUCUGGUCUGUAACUGACGCUGAGGCGCGAAAGCGUGGGGAGCAAACAGGGAUUAGAUACCCUGGUAGUCCACGCCGUAAACGAUGAGUGCUAAGUGUUAGGGGGUUUCCCGCCCCUUAGUGCUGCAGCUAACGCAUUUAGCACUCCGCCUGGGGGAGUACGGCCGCAAGGCUG